rnacentral:rRNA from 1 species
CGAUGAACCUCCUUCGGGAGGGGAUUAGUGGCGAACGGGUGAGUAACACGUGGGCAAUCUGCCCUGCACUCUGGGACAAGCCCUGGAAACGGGGUCUAAUACCGGAUACGAGUUUCACAGGCAUCUGUGAUUCUGGAAAGCUCCGGCGGUGCAGGAUGAGCCCGCGGCCUAUCAGCUUGUUGGUGAGGUAACGGCUCACCAAGGCGACGACGGGUAGCCGGCCUGAGAGGGCGACCGGCCACACUGGGACUGAGACACGGCCCAGACUCCUACGGGAGGCAGCAGUGGGGAAUAUUGCACAAUGGGCGCAAGCCUGAUGCAGCGACGCCGCGUGAGGGAUGACGGCCUUCGGGUUGUAAACCUCUUUCAGCAGGGAAGAAGCGAAAGUGACGGUACCUGCAGAAGAAGCGCCGGCUAACUACGUGCCAGCAGCCGCGGUAAUACGUAGGGCGCAAGCGUUGUCCGGAAUUAUUGGGCGUAAAGAGCUCGUAGGCGGCUUGUCGCGUCGGUUGUGAAAGCCCGGGGCUUAACCCCGGGUCUGCAGUCGAUACGGGCAGGCUAGAGUUCGGUAGGGGAGAUCGGAAUUCCUGGUGUAGCGGUGAAAUGCGCAGAUAUCAGGAGGAACACCGGUGGCGAAGGCGGAUCUCUGGGCCGAUACUGACGCUGAGGAGCGAAAGCGUGGGGAGCGAACAGGAUUAGAUACCCUGGUAGUCCACGCCGUAAACGGUGGGCACUAGGUGUGGGCAACAUUCCACGUUGUCCGUGCCGCAGCUAACGCAUUAAGUGCCCCGCCUGGGGAGUAC